UUCUUCGAUCAGAAUGGAUUUCAGC
rnacentral:piRNA from 1 species